UACGAAGGGGGCUAGCGUUGUUCGGAUUUACUGGGCGUAAAGCGCACGUAGGCGGAUCGUUAAGUCGGGGGUGAAAUCCUGGAGCUCAACUCCAGAACUGCCUUCGAUGCUGGCGAUCUUGAGUCCGGAAGAGGUGAGUGGAACUCCUAGUGUAGAGGUGGAAUUCGUAGAUAUUAGGAAGAACACCAGUGGCGAAGGCGGCUCACUGGUCCGGUACUGACGCUGAGGUGCGAAAGCGUGGGGAGCAAACAGG
rnacentral:rRNA from 1 species